rnacentral:sRNA from 1 species
GUGGUUUCGAUGUGGUAAUAUUGACGG